GACGUAGGGCGCGAGCGUUGUCCGGAUUUAUUGGGCGUAAAGAGCUCGUAGGCGGCUUGUCGCGUCGACUGUGAAAACCCGCGGCUCAACCGCGGGCCUGCAUUCGAUACGGGCAGACUAGAGUUCGGUAGGGGAGACUGGAAUUACUGGUGUAGCGGUGAAAUGCGCAGAUAUCAGGAGGAACACCGGUGGCGAAGGCGGGUCUCUGGGCCGAAACUGACGCUGAGGAGCGAAAGCGUGGGGAGCAAACAGG
rnacentral:rRNA from 1 species